rnacentral:pre_miRNA from 1 species
UAUAAUGUUUUGACUCUUCGUCUUAUUUGAAUUUUUUUGCGAUUAAUAUUUUUAUUCUUGCUAGAUGAUAAAACAUGAAUAAUAUUUUAUGUGUGACUAAUUUUUUUAAGUUUUUUAACAAAAUUUCCAAAUAAAACGAAUGAUUAAACAUUGGACACGUAAAAACA